rnacentral:rRNA from 1 species
GACGAACGCUGGCGGCGUGCCUAACACAUGCAAGUCGAGCGAAUGAAGUUCCUUCGGGAACGGAUUUAGCGGCGGACGGGUGAGUAACACGUGGGCAACCUGCCUCAUAGAGGGGAAUAGCCUUCCGAAAGGGAGAUUAAUACCGCAUAAGAUUGUAGUACCGCAUGGUACAGCAAUUAAAGGAGCAAUCCGCUAUGAGAUGGGCCCGCGGCGCAUUAGCUAGUUGGUGAGGUAACGGCUCACCAAGGCGACGAUGCGUAGCCGACCUGGGAGGGGGUGCGGGCACAUUGGGACUGAGAGACGGCCCAGACUCCUACUGGAGGCAGCAGUGGGGAAUAUUGCACAAUGGGGGAAACCCUGAUGCAGCAACGCCGCGUGAGUGAUGACGGCCUUCGGGUUGUAAAGCUCUGUCUUCAGGGACGAUAAUGACGGUACCUGAGGAGGAAGCCACGGCUAUCUACGUGCCAGCAGCCGCAGUAA